rnacentral:rRNA from 1 species
UACGGGGGGGGCAAGCGUUGUUCGGAAUUACUGGGCGUAAAGGGCUCGUAGGCGGCCAACUAAGUCAGACGUGAAAUCUCUCGGCUCAACCGAGAAACGUCGGCUGAUACUGCCGUUCUUGAGGGAUGCAGAGGAGACUGGAAUUCCUGGUGUAGCGGUGAAAUGCGCAGAUAUCAGGAGGAACACCGAUGGCGAAGGCAGGUCUCUGGGCCACUACUGACGCUGAGAAGCGAAAGCAUGGGGAGCGAACAGG